AGAACGAACGCUGGCGGCAUGCCUAACACAUGCAAGUCGAACGAGACCUUCGGGUCUAGUGGCGCACGGGUGCGUAACGCGUGGGAAUCUGCCCAAAGGUUCGGAAUAACUCAGGGAAACUUGAGCUAAUACCGGAUGAUGUCGCAAGACCAAAGAUUUAUUGCCUUUGGAUGAGCCCGCGUAGGAUUAGCUUGUUGGUGAGGUAAAGGCUCACCAAGGCUACGAUCCUUAGCUGGUCUGAGAGGAUGAUCAGCCACACUGGGACUGAGACACGGCCCAGACUCCUACGGGAGGCAGCAGUGGGGAAUAUUGGACAAUGGGCGAAAGCCUGAUCCAGCAAUGCCGCGUGAGUGAUGAAGGCCUAGGGUUGUAAAGCUCUUUACCCGGGAAGAUAAUGACUGUACCGGGAGAAUAAGCCCGGCUAACUCCGCGCCAGCAGCCGC
rnacentral:rRNA from 1 species